GUGCCAGCCGCCGCGGUAAUACGGAGGGUGCAAGCGUUAUCCGGAUUUAUUGGGUUUAAAGGGUCCGUAGGCGGAUGCGUAAGUCAGUGGUGAAAUCUCACGGCUCAACUGUGAAACUGCCAUCGAUACUGCGUGUCUUGAGUGAGGUUGAAGUAGCUGGAAUAAGUAGUGUAGCGGUGAAAUGCAUAGAUAUUACUUAGAACACCAAUUGCGAAGGCAGGUUACUAAGUCUCAACUGACGCUGAUGGACGAAAGCGUGGGGAGCGAACAGGAUUAGAUACCCUGGUAGUCCACGCUGUAAACGAUGCUAACUCGUUUUUGGGGAUUUAUCUUCAGAGACUAAGCGAAAGUGAUAAGUUAGCCACCUGGGGAGUACGAACGCAAGUUUGAAACUCAAAGGAAUUGACGGGGGCCCGCGCAAGCGGUGGAUUAUGUGGUUUAAUUCGAUGAUACGCGAGGAACCUUACCAAGGCUUAAAUGAGAAUUGAUCGGUUUAGAAAUAGACCUUCCUUCGGGCUAUUUUCAAGGUGCUGCAUGGUUGUCGUCAGCUCGUGCCGUGAGGUGUUAGGUUAAGUCCUGCAACGAGCGCAACCCCUGUCACUAGUUGCCAUCAUUCAGUUGGGGACUCUAGUGAGACUGCCUACGCAAGUAGAGAGGAAGGUGGGGAUGACGUCAAAUCAUCACGGCCCUUACGCCUUGGGCCACACACGUAAUACGAUGGCCGGUACAGAGGGCAGCUACACAGCGAUGUGAUGCAAAUCUCGAAAGCCGGUCUCAGUUCGGAUUGGAGUCUGCAACUCGACUCUAUGAAGCUGGAAUCGCUAGUAAUCGCGCAUCAGCCAUGGCGCGGUGAAUACGUUUCCGGGCCUUGUACACACCGCCCGUCAAGCCAUGGAAGUCUGGGGUACCUGAAGUCGGUGACCGUAAAAGGAGCUGCCUAGGGUAAAACAGGUAACUAGGGCUAAGUCGUAACAAGGUAGCC
rnacentral:rRNA from 1 species